GCUUACGGCCAUACCACCCUGAGCACGCUCGACCUCGUCUGAUCUCGGAAGCUAAGCAGGGUUGGGCCUGGUUAGUACUUAGAUGGGAGACCGCCUGGGAAUCCCAGGUGCUGUAAGCU
rnacentral:rRNA from 1 species